rnacentral:lncRNA from 1 species
UUGAUUAGUAAACUAGCGAGUUGCUGUCCGGGCUGUUUUUCAGCAAGCUGAGUGGCGGAGUUUUGGUUCUAACGUGAGUUUGACAGAUCCAAAGGAGCUGAAAUUUGAUGAGCAGUUAGAACAUAAGUUUUCGCACAACUUUGGUAUUCAAACCUCAGAUAAAAAAUGAGUAGAGACCGGGUUAAAACUGAGGAGAAACAGCCACUGAAAUUCUUGCAAUUUUUUCAGACAUUACAACUAACCCAUGACAACGGC